AUUCUGCAUGUGAAGGGUAUUCCAUUCUUCCAUGCUGGGGACGAGAUUCUACGCUCGAAAUCACUUGAUCGUGAUUCUUACAACUCCGAUGAUUGGUUCAAUAGGCUAGACUUCAGCUACAGUUCCAACAAUUGGGGUGUUGGGCUUCCUCCAAAAGG